UACGUAGGGCGCAAGCGUUGUCCGGAAUUAUUGGGCGUAAAGAGCUCGUAGGCGGUUUGUCGCGUCUGCUGUGAAAACUGGAGGCUCAACCUCCAGCCUGCAGUGGGUACGGGCAGACUAGAGUGCGGUAGGGGGAGAUUGGAAUUCCUGGUGUAGCGGUGGAAUGCGCAGAUAUCAGGAGGAACACCGAUGGCGAAGGCAGAUCUCUGGGCCGUAACUGACGCUGAGGAGCGAAAGCAUGGGGAGCGAACAGG
rnacentral:rRNA from 1 species